UCCCUGGAGGACUAGUGGUUAGGUCUCGGCGCUCUUGCCACCACGGCCCAGGUUCGAUUCCUGGCCAAGGAA